AGAUGGUCUGCUUGCCAUCUAUCCUAGCCCAGCAUGCCCAUGCCAGGUGAGUUCAAGCUUAAGGUGCUGUCGCUGCCCUAGGCAUGCCCAGGAACGGAGGAGGGCAGGUACCUGUGGGAGGCUUGUAGCUACAGCUUGGAAGCGGCAGCACCGAAGCACACACAUUGAGAACAUCU